rnacentral:rRNA from 1 species
CACGUAGGGGGCGAGCGUUGUCCGGAUUUAUUGGGCGUAAAGAGCUUGUAGGCGGUUUGUCGCGUCUGCUGUGAAAAUCCGGGGCUCAACCCCGGACUUGCAGUGGGUACGGGCAGACUAGAGUGUGGUAGGGGAGACUGGAAUUCCUGGUGUAGCGGUGGAAUGCGCAGAUAUCAGGAGGAACACCGAUGGCGAAGGCAGGUCUCUGGGCCAUUACUGACACUGAGAAGCGAAAGCAUGGGGAGCGAACAGG